GGAGGGUGCAAGCGUUGUUCGGAAUUACUGGGCGUAAAGCGCGUGUAGGCGGUUUGCUAAGUCUGAUGUGAAAGCCCGAGGCUCACCCUCGGAAGUGCAUUGGAUACUGGUGAGCUAGAGUCCCGGAGAGGAGGGUGGAAUUCCUGGUGUAGCGGUGAAAUGCGUAGAUAUCAGGAGGAACACCGGCGGCGAAGGCGGCCCUCUGGACGGUGACUGACGCUGAGACGCGAAAGCGUGGGGAGCAAACAGGAUUAGAUACCCUGGUAGUCCACGCCGUAAACGAUGAGCACUAGGUGUCGCGGGUAUUGACCCCCCCCCUGCGGUGCCGACGCUAACGCAUUAAGUGCUCCGCCUGGGAGUACGGUCGCAAGAUUA
rnacentral:rRNA from 1 species